rnacentral:lncRNA from 1 species
CCGGGAACCCCGAACAUCCCCUUUCUCUACUCUUUCCCUUUGGAGUCUAUAGAGGGAGAAGCAGAGCCUAAGGCUUCAUCAGUUUGAAUACUGGCUGGGGCUGGGCAAGUUAGUGGCUCAAAGUGUUGAAUCUGUCCCUAAAGCAGGGACAGAAAUGGAGGCUCAGGAGGUAGAGGUGGCAGUGGGCGUGCAGGAGAAGCUGUAGGUCAGGAGGUAGAGGUGGCAGUGGGCGUGCAGGAGAACUGUAGGUCAGAGUGGAGAGGUGGCAGUGGGCGUGCAGGAGAAGGUGUAGGUCAGGGGGUAGAGGUGGCAGUGGGCGUGCAGGAGAAGCUGUAGGUCGGGAGGCAGAGGUGGCAGUGGGCGUGCAGGAGAAGCUGUAGGUCGGGAGGUAGAGGUGGCAGUGGGCGUGCAGGAGAAGCUGUAGGUCGGGAGGUAGAGGUGGCAGUGGGCGUGCAGGAGAAGCUGUAGGUCGGAGAGGGUGCAGAGUGGAGAACAGAUGAGCUGGAGUCACACCAUGCCCUAUACCCAGCCAGAGGCCGAAGUGAGCCUGUCACGGUAAUGCCACUGCCUGCUUGAUUCCCUCCCAUGCCUAGCCUGGGUUCUUCAUGAUCCCUGAGGCCCUCUUUGAUGUCAUCCCGCUGCCUCAAAACCUGUGUGUGCUGGUGGCUCCCUCUGCUUUCCUUCCAGAUGACUCCUUCGCUUCAGCUCAAAUGUCACCUUUGGCUGUUAAAAUCCUUUCCGGAGGAAGUUGUAAACAAUGCCUACCCCUCCUCCCGAGGUCUCUGAUUCCACUCCAGGGAAGAUUGCUCUGGGGGAGCCAAUGAGUUUGUUGGGAUUACUUCCAGAGCAUAGGUGAGGGGUUAGUUACUUGAAUAUGAGUGCUGCCCACCAAAAGACCGCACUGAAAAGUCUUUACCCAGCAGGGGUGAUGGU